UACGUAGGGGGCAAGCGUUGUCCGGAAUCAUUGGGCGUAAAGAGCGUGUAGGCGGCCUGAUCAGUCUGCUGUGAAAGUCCAGGGCUUAACCCUGGAAUGCCGGUGGAUACUGUCAGGCUUGAGUCCGGAAGAGGCGAGUGGAACUCCUGGUGUAGCGGUGGAAUGCGCAGAUAUCAGGAAGAACACCAAUGGCGAAGGCAGCUCGCUGGGACGGUACUGACGCUGAGACGCGAAAGCGUGGGGAGCAAACAGGAUUAGAUACCCUGGUAGUCCACGCCGUAAACGAUGGGUACUAGGUGUAGGGGGUGUCGACUCCCCCUGUGCCGAAGCUAACGCAUUAAGUACCCCGCCUGGGGAGUACGGCCGCAAGGCUAAA
rnacentral:rRNA from 1 species